ACUCAAAGGAAUAGACGGGGGCCCGCACAAGCGGUGGAGCAUGUGGUUUAAUUCGACGCAACGCGAAGAACCUUACCGGGGCUUGACAUCGGACGACCAUCUACGAAAGUAGGUUUCCCCGCAAGGGGACGUCCAGACAGGUGCUGCAUGGCUGUCGUCAGCUCGUGCCGUGAGGUGUUGGGUUAAGUCCCGCAACGAGCGCAACCCUCGUCGCGUGUUGGUCCGCAAGGAUCUCUCACGCGAGACCGCCGGUGAGAAGCCGGAGGAAGGUGGGGAUGACGUCAAGUCAGCAUGGCCCUUACGUCCCGGGCUACACACGUGCUACAAUGCGCCGAACAACGAGUCGCAAGCUCGCGAGAGCAAGCCAAUCUCUUAAAUCGGCGCCCAGUUCGGAUUGAAGGCUGCAACUCGCCUUCAUGAAGUCGGAAUCGCUAGUAACCGCAGAUCAGCUACGCUGCGGUGAAUACGUUCCCGGGCCUUGUACACACCGCCCGU
rnacentral:rRNA from 1 species